UACGGAAGGCAGCAGUGGGGAAGUAUUGCACAAUGGGCGCAAGCCUGAUGCAGCCAUGCCGCGUGUAUGAAGAAGGCCUUCGGGUUGUAAAGUACUUUCAGUCGUGAGGAAGGUGUUAAGGUUAAUAACCUUAGCAAUUGACGUUAGCGACAGAAGAAGCACCGGCUAACUCCGUGCCAGCAGCCGCGGUAAUACGGAGGGUGCGAGCGUUAAUCGGAAUUACUGGGCGUAAAGGGCACGCAGGCGGUUAAUUAAGUUGGAUGUGAAAUCCCCGGGCUUAACCUGGGAAUGGCAUUCAAGACUGGUUAGCUAGAGUCUUGUAGAGGGGGUAGAAUUCCAUGUGUAGCGGUGAAAUGCGUAGAGAUGUGGAGGAAUCCGGUGGCGAAGGCGGCCCCUGGACAAAGGACUGACGCUCAUGUGCGAAAGCGUGGGGAGCAAACAGGGAUUAGAUACC
rnacentral:rRNA from 1 species